CCCUCCCCUUCCAAAUAACUUUUGAACCCUUUGGUCAGUUUUGGCCCUGUUGGAUUGGGAGUUCCCACUGCAGGAAGUUAAUUGAGAUGAGCAGUUGGUAAGAGGAGAGAGUCGCCAUGAACAUCCCUCUGAAGAGGAGUCUGUGGCUUGGCACCGGGGAAUUCACAGGGAAAAGAGACGCGAAUGCUCCAGCAUUUCUGUGGGGUCUACUGAAUUGUUUUGCCUGAACUGUGUAAGUGGCUUGAUUUAUUACUGAGCUACGAAGAGCAGCAGGAAACAUCCACUACUUGUAUAUACCAGCCCGAAUUUACUUGCUUUAUGCUUCUAGUGUGCACGGUAAACUUCUGACAGUCUGCCCCAGAAUUUUAUUAGUCGAUCUGGAAGAAGUCUGCCUUUGCAAGACCCCGUCUGUGCAGGUUCCCUGGGCGCUGAAUGCGACCUUCACCAGGUCAGACUGCUUCAGACCUGCCUCGUGGAUGUACUGGCGCUGCACAAUGUCCAACUGCAAAACAAGGCCAACAUUAAACUUCAAAAUUCAAGUGCAGCUGUAAGAGAUAGAUACCAUCCAUAAAGCCAUGGAGAAAGGAUGUUCUGAAAGCACUAAUUAGACCUGACUGGGCUGUGACAUAAAAAAAAAAAAAAAACAACACAACCAACAUGUGGGGAAAGCAUCAUUAGGGCAU